rnacentral:rRNA from 1 species
UGGCUCAGGACGAACGCUGGCGGCGUGCUUCAUACAUGCAAGUCGAACGAUAAGGCACCUUCGGGUGUACAUAAGUGGCGGACGGGUGAGUAAAAUGUAGAGAAUCUGCCCUAGAGCGGGGGACAACAGCUGGAAACGGUUGCUAAUACCCCAUAUGAGCGUAGCUGAGAUGCUAUUCUUGAAAACUCCGGUGCUCUGGGAUGAGUCUGCAUCUGAUUAGCUAGUUGGGGGUGUAAUGGACCACCAAGGCGACGAUCAGUAGCUGGUUUGAGAGGAUGAUCAGCCACGAUGGGACUGAGACACGGCCCAUACUCCUACGGGAGGCAGCAGUAGGGAAUUUUGCGCAAUGGGGGAAACCCUGAACCGCAGCAACGCCGCGUGAUUGAAGAAGCCCUUCGGGGUGUAAAGAUCUGUCAGUGGGGACGAAACUUGACGGUACCCACAGAGGAAGCAUCGGCUAACUCCGUGCCAGCCGCGGC